rnacentral:snRNA from 1 species
GGAGCUCGGACGCGAGUUCUAU